GGCCCAUGGACAUGGACAUGAGCAUGGACAUCGUAAAAUGGAACUUCUAGAUUACAGACAACGGAAGACAGAAGGGACACCAUUAGAAACUAUCCAGAAGAAGCUGGCUGAAAAAGGGCUAAGGGAUCCGUGGGGCCACAAUGAAGCUUGAAGAUACAUGGGUGGCUUUGCAAAGAGUGUUUCCUUUUUUGAUGUAUUGUUUAAAGGAUUCAAAUGGGGAUUUGCUGCAUUUGUGGUAGCUGUAGGAGCUGAAUAUUACCUGGAGUCCCUGAAUAAAGAUAAGAAGCAUCACU
rnacentral:lncRNA from 1 species